rnacentral:rRNA from 1 species
AUUGAACGCUGGCGGCAUGCCUAACACAUGCAAGUCGAACGGUAACGCGGAGAGCUUGCUCUCUGGCGACGAGUGGCGGACGGGUGAGUAAUACUUAGGAAUCUGCCCAGUAGUGGGGGACAACAUUCGGAAACGGAUGCUAAUACCGCAUACGCACUACGGUGGAAAGUGGGGGACCUUCGGGCCUCACGCUAUUGGAUGAGCCUAAGUCGGAUUAGCUUGUUGGUGAGGUAAUAGCUCACCAAGGCGACGAUCCGUAGCUGGUCUGAGAGGACGAUCAGCCACACUGGGACUGAGACACGGUCCAGACUCCUACGGGAGGCAGCAGUGGGGAAUAUUGGACAAUGGGCGCAAGCCUGAUCCAGCAAUGCCGCGUGUGUGAAGAAGGCCUGCGGGUUGUAAAGCACUUUCAGUAGAGAAGAAAAGCUUAAGGCGAAUACCCUUGAGUCUUGACGUAACCUACAGAAGAAGCACCGGCUAACUCCGUG